rnacentral:tRNA from 1 species
GGAGGGGUAUCCAAACGGCCAAGGAGCACGCCUGCAGAGCGUGUAUUUCUGGGUUCAAAUCCCAGCCCCUCCU